GAGAAAACACUGAUUUGUAACACUAGAAAAAGCCAAGAUAUAUCUUUGGCCAAUUUCUUAACCACACUUCUUUAGCCAUAAAAUUUUUCAUUUAUUUUACUUUUUCAGUUAUUUAUUGAAAUAACUAUCCAGAAAACAUUUUUUAAAAAGCUUUUACAUCCAGAGCUAGACUCAAUAUUAAAAGUUGGACUUAUUUUUGUACGUUAAUCUUCUAAACGGUCAUCUGCUCUUCCAGAACGCCCUAUCUCAGCGGCCAGCAUGAUGGUCCAUCCCGAGCCACAAGUCGUCUUUUCUGCUUCUGCCCUCCCUCACUCUCACAGCUAAUCCAACACCAAGUCUCAUCAAUUUUACUUCCUAAUACCACUCCACUCCAUCCACCUCUCUCCACACCCACUGCCACCGCCCUAGGAUAAGACAUUUUCAUCUCUUGUUUGCAUUCCCAUUAGUCUCCUUCCUAGGCUCCUACACCGCACUUGAACCCUGUAAUCAAUUCCCGCCUCUGCACUGCGGUCACCACCCCCAGUGCUCUCCCCACCUUAAAUUGCCCUGCGACGACCAACAUCUUCCAUGAGGCCAAAAGGCCGUUCCCACCUCUCCAGCCUCGUUAUAUACCAAACUUCCUUCCCUGCCGAAGCCACAACGCCUUUCAGAUUCUGGAAAUGCUCUUCCCCUUGGUUUAGGAAACACCAGAUGCUUGCCUGCUGCUAUCAUUCUUCUAAUUACCUCCCUAGCUAAGCCACACCUCCCUCCUCCCUGUCUCCCGCCCCCAUCUGAUUGUUGAGCUCAACAUUAAAUGCUUCCACAGUAGGGUUUCUUUCCUUUAUGGCACUUACUACAAUUACAAUUUUGUGAUUACCUUAUGACCGUCUCUCUCCUUCACUAGAUGGUAAUUUCUAUGAAGCAGGGAAUGAAUCUCAUUUAUCCUUUAUUGUAUUGUGCCUGGCACAAUAAACAGUAGUUCAUUUUCCAGAACCCUCUCCACUCUAUCUACUUUCUUAGACUGAGGCCUCUCGUGACAUGGACUUGGAACUGCGGCUUUUCAGGGAGAAAACUUCUCAGGAGUCUUAUACAUACAUGAAGCCUACUAAAUGACAAAUGGGGGAAAAGGAAAAAUCCCACAAUCCCUUAGCGACCUUCCCCAACAAAGCUUCCUCCGGGGGCUGCAAGGAGCAAGGCAACAGUCCCGUCUGCCCUUCCCGCUCUGGGGCAGAAACCAGGACCAAGCGGCCAGGAGCGCUCCGAGAAUGCACACCCGGUCACGUGCACCGGCGGCGGCCACGCCCACCCCGGAAGGGGACCUGCGGCGCGCCUCGGCUGGAGAAGGGCCCCAGCGACGUAAGGCGUGCGUGCGUACGUGCGCCGGGAUGGCGAGGCGGAAGGGCCAGGGGACUGAAGGAGCGGCUCCGGGCUACCGGGACAGCGGCUUGCGCCCGAAGUCAGCUUUAGCGCCUGGCUGAGUCCCCGACCCGCGGCAGGGCCUGCGGGGCCUCUCUGCGUCCCGCCCGACGGGAUGGGUGGCAGUGACCUUCCAGGGACACGGCCGAGGGCAAUGUCGCUUCCUUCACAGGCACGUCCCCAAGACUACGUCCUCACGCCGCAGGUUCCCCCGCUGCGUGCUCAGCGCCCCUCGCCCGUAGCUUUACCUGUACCGGCCGGCGAUGAGCAAAGUCUGUCAGAAGGAGCCGGUAAACGGGCUCCGCCGUGAGACCCCUUCGCUUUCCGUAGUGGGCGGGGCUUCGCCCGGCGUCUUUUAAAGGAAAGGUGACGUGGGAGGAGCGCCUUUCCAGCUGGCGGGAUAAAUACCUCCGACAGAAAGUGCGGGGGGCGCGCAAGUUCCUGCUGCUUAGAGGGGCGUCGCGGACUCCGUGCCGCGCUUGCGACCGUCAGCGGCUCUUCUCGUUACGUUACGUUGACGCCAGCCUCCGUGCUUCUACGUGCCCACUGGGGCUUACAGAGGCUUGUUUCCUAAACGUCUUUUGUUUAGUAAAAUGCUGUUUUAAUUUCAUGUUUAAUAAACUGUUUCAUAAGCGUCUUAUAAUUAUUGUGCGUCGGGGAGCCCUGCCCCCUGUUUGCAGAUGGGGAAACUAGUUCAGCCUGAAGUAGCUGCUUGGGAGCAAGGACCGAGGCUCCGUUUCCUCAUCACGUCCACGGCGUCUGGCACGGAGGCGCUGAUGUUGGCUGAAAUAGUGAAGUGAACCCAGACGCAGCUCGUGUGUGUGACCCGAAGUCCGAGGUUAGCGUUUGCAUGUUGAUCCUUUCCAAGCUAAACAAGAACUAGAGAUUCGUUUUAUUCUUCCUCGAUACCACGAUGCAAGUUUGUGUAGUGUAGAUGUGGGGACAGAGUGACCAGCACGGUACCUUGGCAAAUGAGCUCGUCCCUGUGCCCCAGCAGACAGUGCCAAGGAAAGAAGAUGCACGAGUUUUGUUAAUGAGACCCUGGACUUCUGUCAAACCCAAAGUCCCGAACGACAACUUUCACACUGAAAUAGCAAAUCAAGAUUUAAAGAACUUUUCCUGUUCAUGAGCCAAAAUUAUUUCUUUUAUCCACUGAUACAGGCAGAUUUUAAAAGCAGCCUGUUCAAUAAGGUCACCCAAAUGUCCUCCUGAGCGUGUGCCCAGGCCCUUCAAACCGUGGG
rnacentral:lncRNA from 1 species